ACACCUCCACCAUCUCUGUUCAUUGUGAGUGAAAGAGAGGCUCGGGUUCUUCUUUCUCAAACCUACAGAAGCGGAUGCUUAACAUGAUUGAGGGAGAAGAGGAGGGGUUUGGGACCACAGAGAGAGAAAGAAGAGAAGGCGUAAAGAUGGCUCCUUUAAUCUCAAAGAAAUCUCCACGAAACUGUUUCUGGAUAACUCCGAGAAGACAAUCAAAAACGCUCUCAAGAUCUGAUCUUUCAUCACACACAACAUCUCUCUCUCUAUCUUCUCCUUAGUUGUUGAUAUUGGAUCGAUGAUGAGUGGGCUGACAGAAGAGAGUGAGCACACAGCGUUGAAGACUGCAUCGACGAAUGGAGUUCUUGUUGCGUGCUCACGUCUCUAUCUGUCAGCCAGCCUAAUUACAGGCCACUUUAAUCGAAUCUCUAUAUGGCUUUCUUUCCUCGCUUCUUUCCUCUUUAGGUUCGCUUUUCUCCUUUCGCUCUUUAUCCGUCGCUGCAACGGAAGGCAAAACUGGGAAGAGAGAGAGAGAGGAGAGCUUCCGUGCAGAGCAUUUGGUUACAAAAUGUCAAGUUCCUCAUCCAGGUGGCAGAUCAGAUCUCUCACGCUUCAGACACGUCUACUCCGGCUCGGAUUUUCACAAAGAUUGAAAAUUUUGUUGGCGUGGGGAAGUAAGAGAUCAGCCGGCGUGGUUUUUGAGGUGGUGGUGAAAGGACGUAUGGUUUAUUCUGCUAAAAAAAAUGAAAUUUUAGGGCUCGGAGAGCGAGAAGAUGAGAUUGGGAAGCGUACGCCUCCUCUGCUCAUCCGUGCUAUCUGGCUUAACGGACCCUACUGUUGACCGGUCCUUGUUCCCUCCUCCUUUUCUGAGUUUUCUCUUCCUUUUCAUCUCCUCCUGCUGUUCUUCUUCGGUGUAUGUAUUUAUUUAUAAGAUCUGAAUUGUUAGUACAGACUCUUGAAAGGCAGGAUCUUUGUCUUCCUCAAUGAGCAAUGGCUUUCUGAUGAGGAGAGGAAGAGUAAAUGGCAUCUCAGAAGAGAUCCGCAGGACAGCUGAGUCGAGAAGAUAAUAGGCACAAUUCAAAACCGUCAUCUCAUGAUGGGAAACUACACCCUCGACCACUAUGUCACUGGAGCACACAAAUCUUAACUCACACUACGACACUGUUCGCACACAUAUGACUAACUAUGUCAUCGUAACUCGCAAGGCACCGACUCCACCCUCUUCGACUGCUUCGACGGCACUUUUACAUACGAAAGUCUUCCUCAUUAACCUUCACAGCCAUACCUGUUGUUUCAUGUAUGUUAGAAAUUUAGGAAUGCAAUUUACCUCAGCAAUGAGCACACAUAUGCUUUGCUUUGUUUCUUCCAGAAGAAGUUGAGGAGAUUGUUAAGCCUCUCAUGAAGGAAUUGCUCACCUUCCUGCUUUGGAAAACAGCUAUGGCAUUGUAGAGGAAUUAUGUUAUUUUCUUGUAAAGGACAAUAUUCAUUCAAAUGGGAUGAAUGAGAGCAAGGAAGUAUAAAGUUACCGUUGAUGAUAGGAAUCUGUACUUUUAUGGAUUUGAAAAAUUAGAAGCGGGAAA